rnacentral:rRNA from 1 species
AGUCGAGCGGAAACGAUGGAGCUUGCUCCAGGCGUCGAGCGGCGGACGGGUGAGUAAUGCAUAGGAAUCUGCCCGGUAGUGGGGGAUAACCUGGGGAAACCCAGGCUAAUACCGCAUACGUCCUACGGGAGAAAGCAGGGGAUCUUCGGACCUUGCGCUAUCGGAUGAGCCUAUGUCGGAUUAUCUGGUUGGUGAGGUAAUGGCUCACCAAGGCGACAAUCCGUAGCUGGUCUGAGAGGAUGAUCACCCACAUCGGGACUGAGACACGGCCCGAACUCCUACGGGAGGCAGCAGUGGGGAAUAUUGGACAAUGGGCGAAAGCCUGAUCCAGCCAUGCCGCGUGUGUGAAGAAGGCUUUCGGGUUGUAAAGCACUUUCAGUGAGGAAGAAAGCCUUGGGGCUAAUACCCCCAAGGGACGACAUCACUCACAGAAGAAGCACCGGCUAACUCCGUGCCAGCAGCCGCGGUAAUACGGAGGGUGCGAGCGUUAAUCGGAAUUACUGGGCGUAAAGCGCGCGUAGGCGGCGUGAUAAGCCGGUUGUGAAAGCCCCGGGCUCAACCUGGGAACGGCAUCCGGAACUGUCACGCUAUAGUGCACGAGAGGAAGGUAGAAUUCCCGGUGUAGCGGUGAAAUGCGUAUAGAUCGGGAGGAAUACCAGUGGCGAAGGCGGCCUUCUGGACUGACACUGACGCUGAGGUGCGAAAGCGUGGGUAGCAAACAGGAUUAUAUACCCUGGUAGUCCACGCCGUAACGAUGUCGACUAGCCGUUGGGGUCCUUUGAGACCUUUGUGGCGCA